rnacentral:misc_RNA from 1 species
AAUAAAAAAAAUUAUCCACAAAUAAUCUCAAUGCAAUGAAAUUUAACAUAAAAAGACAAAUGCAUUGAGCUGGUAACAAGUAUCAUAUAAUUAAGCAAACAUGCAGAUGCUAAUAAUAGAACUUGUGUUGGCUUUGGUAGCACUAGCCACCAGCAUCAAUUCACGAAAUUAUAGUUGCCAAAUACUAGGGGUGAUAACCCACUACACUAAAGCUAGAUGGAUACAUAUUAAAAUUUCCACAAACUAUAAAAUAAAUUUUCAAGACUAACAUUUUUAGGUUAGAAAAAGUAAGGAAGCCUGCCUUGCUGGAAAACACACAAAAUAAAGGCAUUGGGUUUGAAGUUUCACUUCAAGAAGGAAAUGUUUUCUAGAUGUUUGAUAAGGAAAAGAAUUUACAUGGAGAACAAAAAUUGAUGAUUUUUGAAAGUCAGUGCAUAGUGCAUACCCUUUAGGGGCAAUUCAAACCAUCUACAAGAUCUUGAUUCUUGAAUAUAAAAGAUUAUGCUAUACAACAUUUCUAUUAUAUGCAGGAUCGAUGAUUAAUCCUAAGCAUUUAUAUCAUACAGUUUUGGACCAUGAGUCAAGCCAAGCAUCAAAAAUUUUCCAGCCCAUCCUGUGAUUUUUUUAAUUUUUUUUUUUUACGAGAAACACAAAUUUAUCAACAAAUGAGACAUCUAAAAAAUGCUUUUGUCAUGCUCCUAGGAGAUUUUUUUUUUCAUCGCAAAUUUGGUAUUAUGUUGCAAAAUUCCUACUGAUACAAAUUCAGUAGAUGGUUAUGAUUAUUGUGAGCAUCAUAACAAUUUCUUACAGUUCUACCUUCUAAUAGUUUGAAUUGCAACAUGUUAUCUUGAGGUGGUUACUUAAAAACAUAAAAUACACACCUAGGCCAAUGGCA